GACGAACGCUGGCGGCGUGCUUAACACAUGCAAGUCGAACGGAAAGGCCCUGCUUGCAGUGUACUCGAGUGUCGAACGGGUGAGUAACACGUGUGUGAUCUGCCCUGCACUUCGGGAUAAGCCUGGAAAACUGGGGCUAAUACAGGAUAGGAGCCAUUCUUAGUGUUAUUGUUGGAAAGUUUUUUCGGUGUAGGAUGAGCUCGCGGCCUUUCAGCUUGUUGGUGGGGUAAUGGCCUACCAAGGCGGCGGCGGGUAGCCGGCCUGAGAGGGUGGACGGCCACAAUGGGACUGGAAUACGGCCCAGACUCCUACGGGAGGCAGCAGUGGGGAAUAUUGCACCAUGGGCGGAAGCCUGAUGCAGCGACGCCGCGUGGGGGAUGACGGCCUUCGGGUUGUAAACCCCUUUCGGUCGGGACCAAGCUUUUUGUGACGGUACCUAGAUAAGAAGCACCGGCUAACUACGUG
rnacentral:rRNA from 1 species